rnacentral:misc_RNA from 1 species
GUUUGCACAUUAUCAACAGGACUGCAAAAAUACUGAAUUGAUUGCAGCAGUUUUUCCAGCCAUUUGUCGCGCUGUGUUUCACCCGUUAGGACUCUGAAGUUUGAAAGGAUGAUGAAGUAUUCUGAUGCAUUAUUGGCACAACUGCCUGGAGUUUCUGCUCUAGGCUGACCCGACCUAGAUGGUGCUUCAUCAUCUCUGGUGACAUCCAAAGACAUCAUGCUCUUCUUCCUCAAAAGUCGUUUACUCUUCAAUUGGUCUUCCUGACUAACAGGGC